UCCAUUCAUGAUAAGAGGGAUGUUUAGGAGAUCGAGCACUUGUGUGAAGUGUUGUCUCAUAAUAUUGGCUAUAGUUUCAACUUUAGCUGUGUGUGGACCUGCUUUGUCUUGGAGAUUUAAGAAGGGUAUUAGUUUAUGUGAUAACAAAUCAUCUUGUCCUCCUUGUAAUUGUGAUUGCUCUCCUCAUCUUUCUUUUCUCAAGAUUGCGCCUGGUAAGUUUUGCUUUCAUGAUUCUGCUUGUGGUUAUUUUCAAGUCAUGAGAUUGAUUGAUUAUAUGCGGAUUAAAGUGAAUUUGUAGAUUACCUAUUUUAAUGAUUUAUUUUUGUUGGUUUGCUUUCAAAUUUUGAUUUUGUUUAAUUGUAUUUGGAUUAUAGUGAAUUUGAUGAGUUCCCAUUUUUGUGGAUAUAGAUCAUUUUUUGCUAUUUGGGUUUGUUGUCAAGUUCUGAUUUUGUUUGGUUAAAUGCUCAUUAGACUAAAAAAAUAGCUUGAGGUUUUGAUUUACAGUUGUUGCUAAUUUUGAAUUCUAAGCUUUGUGUAUAAUGGAAUAGUUAUAGUUAAAUAAUCUCCUAAAUCCAGCUAAUUACAGCUCAAAAAGUACAAAAUUUUAGCCUUCUGUCACUACCCAACAGAUAAAAAAAGUCUUUUUAAAAACAACUAUCUUAAAAAUUUGCCUCCAAAGUUUCCCAUAAAUUCUACCAAAUCUCAAGCUUCUGCAGCAAUCAAAGACAAAUAAAAGUGGAAAAGGUUAUCCCCAGAAACCCUCAAAGACACUUUAACUAAUGUAUAUAUGAUUGAAAAAAAUACCUUAAUGAGUUUUACAGGACAAACGAGACAAUGGCUUGUGUGAAAACCUUAAUAGAGUCAAAAGAACAGGAGAAGGGCCCAAUACUCAAUACCCAUUUACAAAAUUGCUUACAGAAUAGUCAUAGUUAUGACUUUAUUAUUAUCAACAACAUUACCUCACUCAAAAAAAAAUUGCCUAUAAAUUUAAAAAAUAAAAAAUAAAAAAAUGCAUACGACAGUAAAAAGAAUCUUUGUGUGUGAUGGUAAAAUGAAUGGAAUGAAAGAAAGUGCUUCCAGUUCUUGAUUCUAAUUUUCGAACUAGAUUAGUUGUUAAGAUAUAAAGGUUUUGGAAUCUUGAUUGUGAACGCCAAGGUAAGGCAGAUUCAAAUAAGCUGAGAAGAGAACAAUGUACAAGGACAGAGUAGGAGAGAAAAACGGGGGACAGAAAGGAUUUAGUUUUUAGUUAUAAAAACUACCAUCAUCAUCAGGACACAUGUGCUGUAUAUAUACCUAGCUACUGUAACUAUACACCUUUUAAAAUAGAAUUGAUAUAGCCAUAGUUAUGACUUUAUUAUUAUGUAUUGGAAAGUUAUAACACUAUUUUAUUGUUUUUGUUUAUACUAUUACCUGCACAAGUCCAAGUCCCCUUAUUCUGUCACCUGCAAUUUUCAAGUCCCCUUGUUAAUUUGUUACAUAUUGAUUCAAUAUUGCUAUCACUUCGGAAUAUUAUUUUCAUCAUUCGUGUUUAAGAUUUGUAUAAUACCCAGAAGUGUUAAGUGUUCCAAAACACGAUGUAUUAGUGUCAUAAGAAAUUUGUUAAGGGUUCGUACCAGUCAAGGGCAGUUAUGAUUGCUAAAGUAUAUUGCAUAUUGAAUAUCAAGUUGCAAAAGUAGGAGCUGAUUAAAAAUGAGACAUACCUAAAUAAUCAUUGCUUAUUUUAGAACAAAAAAAUAUGUAAUUUUUAUUUUGUAGUGUCCGAGACAGCCUAACAAUUUUGAAUUUCGUUACUACGUCAAAAAAAACAUUGAAGAUAUCGUUACAAAUGUGAACAUUCUUAAAAAUAAUAUAAGUAUCGAAAACAAUUUUUAGAAUACUGUAUCUUAUUGUUUUAAUGCAUUGUGAAAUAAAUCACCUCAAAAGAACCUUGAACCUUAGACCUAAUGUGUGCUUUUUUAUUGCUAUGUUGUUAUCAUAUAUUGUCUGUAUUUUAUAUUCUGUAAGAAAAUGUACUUAUAAUAAUGGGUAUAUUGCACAUUGUUGGAGAGAUUAUGUGAAUAGCCAUAGAGGCACGAAUUAGUAUUUGGUAUAUAGACAAUGUAUUGUGGAUAUAUAUAUAGGGUCAUGAUAUGUCCAAAACAAUUAUAUGAGUUAAUUGUUGUUUUGAUAGUUAAGUAGUUUACAAUUUGAUUUCUAGUGAAUAACUUGUUGUUUUGAAAUUAAAGUUCAAGGAAAGGGCUCUCGCAACUUUGUUAUCAAUGGGUUACAUAUGUUGCCAAGUUGUUACAAUCUAUAAUAGCGAGGUAAUAUAUGAGUAGUUUAUCAUUAUUUUUGCUUCCAAAAAUCGAAGACUUAUUUUUUAUGUCCUAACUGAUUUAAUGUACUUGUAGGUGGGAAAAUAAAAUGAAGCCAUGUAUGGAUAUUCCAUGACAUUCUUUUGCCUAUUCUUGUUGGUUAAUGUUUGUUGAAACUUGAUUCAAUACUCUUUGUUUAAAACUUGUUGAACACUUAAUUUGGCACUUAUUUUUUUCCCCCCAAACACUGGUGUAGCUUGAUUAUGAUAAUUUAAGUGAUAUUUUUGGGAAGUUUAUUAUGUGAAUUGCUGUUGGGAGA
rnacentral:lncRNA from 1 species